AUUGAACGCUGGCGGUAUGCCUAACACAUGCAAGUCGAACGGCAGCACAGUAAGAGCUUGCUCUUACGGGUGGCGAGUGGCGGACGGUAGAUGAAUACAUCGGAAUCUACUUUUUCGUGGGGGAUAACGUAGGUAAACUUACGCUAAUACCGCAUACGACCUACGGGUGAAAUCAGGAGAUCUUCGGACCUUGCGCGAUUGAAUGAGCCGAUGUCGGAUUAGCGAGUUGGCGGGGUAAAGGCCCACCAAGGCGACGAUCCGUAGCUGGUCUGAGAGGAUGAUCAGCCACACUGGAACUGAGACACGGUCCAGACUCCUACGGGAGGCAGCAGUGGGGAAUAUUGGACAAUGGGCGCAAGCCUGAUCCAGCCAUACCGCGUGGGUGAAGAAGGCCUUCGGGUUGUAAAGCCCUUUUGUUGGGAAAGAAAAGCAGCAGGUUAAUACCCCGCUGUUCUGACGGUACCCAAAGAAUAAGCACCGGCUAACUUCGUG
rnacentral:rRNA from 1 species